AAGUCGUAACAAGGUCUCCGUUGGUGAACCAGCGGAGGGAUCAUUACUGAGUACUACACUCUCUACCCUUUGUGAACUAUUAUACCUGUUGCUUCGGCGGCGCCCGCAAGGGUGCCCGCCGGUCUCAUCAGAAUCUCUGUUUUCGAACCCGACGAUACUUCUGAGUGUUCUUAGCGAACUGUCAAAACUUUUAACAACGGAUCUCUUGGCUCCAGCAUCGAUGAAGAACGCAGCGAAACGCGAUAUGUAAUGUGAAUUGCAGAAUUCAGUGAAUCAUCGAAUCUUUGAACGCACAUGGCGCCUUCCAGUAUCCUGGGAGGCAUGCCUGUCCGAGCGUCGUUUCAACCCUCGAGCCCCUGUGGCCCGGCGUUGGGGAUCUGCCGCGGCAGGCCCCUAAAACCAGUGGCGGACCCGAAGGGCCCUCUCCUUUGCGCAGUAGCAUUCGCCUCGCAUCGGGAGUCCUCGGCGUCCUGCCUCUAAACCCCCACAAGCCCGCUUCGGCGGCACCAAGGUUGACCUCGGAUCAGGUAGGAAUACCCGCUGAACUUAA
rnacentral:rRNA from 1 species